GAUGAACGCUGGCGGCGUGCCUAAUACAUGCAAGUCGAGCGAACAGACGAGGAGCUUGUUCCACUGACGUUAGCGGCGGACGGGUGAGUAACACGUGGAUAACCUACCUAUAAGACUGGGAUAACUUCGGGAAACCGGAGCUAAUACCGGAUAAUAUAUUGAACCGCAUGGUUUAAUAGUGAAAGACGGUUUUGCUGUCACUUAUAGAUGUAUCCGCGCGUCAUUAGAUAGUUGGUAAGGUAACGGCUUACCAAGGGAACGAUGCGUAGCCGACCAGAGAGGGUGAUCGGCCACACUGGAACUGAGACACGGUCCAGACUCCUAGGGGGGGCAGGAGUAGGGAAUCUUGCGCAAUGGGAGAGAGCCUGACGGAGCAACGCCGCGUGAGUGAUGAAGGUCUUCGGAUCGUAAAACUCUGUUAUUAGGGAAGAACAAAUGUGUAAGUAACUAUGCACGUCUUGACGGUACCUAAUCAGAAAGCCACGGCUAACUACGU
rnacentral:rRNA from 1 species